rnacentral:piRNA from 1 species
UGGUAACCUUGAUUAUCAUUACAAUGUGAUU